AUUGAACGCUGGCGGCAGGCCUAACACAUGCAAGUCGAGCGAGCGGCGGGCGGGUGAGUAAUGUAUGGGGACUGCCCGAUAGAGGGGGAUAACUACUAGACACGGGGGCUAAUACCGCAUACUAUCGGAUAACCCAUAGGGGAUUAGCUUGGAGGUGGGGUAAAGGCUCACCUAGGCGACGAUCUCUAGCUGGUCUGAGUGGAUGACCAGCCACACUGGGACUGAGACACGGCCCAGACUCCUACGGAGGCAGCAGUGGGGAAUAUUGCACAAUGGGCGCAAGCCUGAUGCAGCCAUGCCGCGUGUAUGAAGAAGGCCUUAGGGUUGUAAAGUACUUUCAGCGGGGAGGCGUUACCCGCAGAAGAAGCACCGGCUAACUCCGUGCCAGCAGCCGCGGUAAUUC
rnacentral:rRNA from 1 species